GCCCUGGUGGUGGAAUUGGUAGACACGCUGUCUUGAGGGGGCAGUGCCGAAAGGUGUGCCGGUUCGAGUCCGGCCCAGGGCACCA
rnacentral:tRNA from 1 species